rnacentral:rRNA from 1 species
CUUUUGUGCGGGAUAGAAUGCGAGUCGAGCGUCUCUAGCUAUGUUGAGACGCGGCAUACGGCUCAGUAACACGUGGCUAACCUACCCUCAGGACGGGGACAAACCCGGGAAACUGGGGCUAAUAUCCGAUAGGCGAGGAAUCCUGGAAUGGUUCUUCACCCAAAGGACAUUGGAAACAUGCUUUCUCUGUCGCCUGGGGAUGGGGCCGCGUCCGAUCAGGUUGUUGGUGAGGUAAUGGCUCACCAAGCCUUUAACCGGUACGGGCCGUGAGAGCGGUAGCCCGGAGAUGGGUACUGAGACAAGGACCCAGGCCCUACGGGGCGCAGCAGUCGCGAAAACUCCGCAAUGCACGAAAGUGUGACGGGGCUACCCCGAGUGCCGUCCGCUGAGGAUGGCUUUUCCUUGGUGUAACUAGCCGGGGGAAUAAGGAGAGGGCAAGACUGGUGUCAGCCGCCGCGGUAAUACCAGCUCUCCGAGUGGUAGGGAUGAUUAUUGGGCUUAAAGCGUCCGUAGCCGGCUUAGCAAGUUUCCUGUUAAAUUCAGCGACCUAAUCGUUGAGCCGCGGGAAAUACUACUAGGCUAGGAGGCGGGAGAGGUCGACGGUACUUCUGGGGUAGGGGUGAAAUCCUAUAAUCCCGGGAGGACCACCAGUGGCGAAGGCUGUCGACUAGAACGCGCUCGACGGUGAGGGACGAAAGCUGGGGGAGCGAACCGGAUUAGAUACCCGGGUAGUCCCAGCUGUAAACGAUGCGGGCUAGGUGUUGGGGUGGCUACGUGCCACUUCAGUGCCGCAGGGAAGCCAUUAAGCCCGCCGCCUGGGGGAGUACGGCCGCAAGGCUGAAACUUAAAGGAAUUGGCGGGGGAGCACCACAAGGCGUGAAGCUUGCGGUUCAAUUGGAGUCAACGCCGGG